UUUUUUCAAGUAAUACAACAGUAUUUUAUUGCUACAUUAUAUUAAUACUUUUUCCUGUAAUAACACUGAAAAAAACUACCAAGCCCAAAACAUUAUUCAGCUUUCACUACUUUAUAAAUAAAAAUUAAUUUAUAUUCAACUCCCAGUGGCAGUGUGAAUUGCUGUUAAUUCAUUUCACAGCAUUUGGGUGCUAGAAAAAAAAUAGGCUGCUCCCCUCUCAUGACAUUUUAGUUUUCAACAUAAAAUGUUUUUCCUUUAAUAUCUUAUGUAAGAUAAUUGUGCAUUAAAUGGCUUAGAUAUAUAUAAAUAGCUGACACUGGCUAGGAGUAGUUAUUUUCAGUGGGCUUAAAGAGAUUUUAUCUGCACAUAUGAAUCUUGAUUGCUAUUGCUUUUACUUACGUUAAUUAAAUUAAGGGAUGCAAUCACAGAAUAUUUUGUUUUCAUUCAAAUGGACAAACUUGACAAAUAGAUACAAAGUUGAAUUUUUACUGAGCAGAUUCUUCUAAGCCCUGUAGGUUGAUUUGUUUUUCCUUACAUCAAAUUUGAGAAAGAUUUUCUCUGUUUUUCAAUUGCAGGUCUUCAAACUUACUCUCUAUUCUGGUUUUAGGCAUCUUCAAUGAAGCUUACUGGCAUUCAUUUUAAUAGUGAUAAGGAAUUCUUUGUGUGGUUUGUUACAGGAUGUACUUGAUGCUGAAAAAUUAACAUCCUUCUGUAAUGAGCAUAAUCAGGCAGGUUUGUAGCUCUGGAACUACAAAGAUUUGAAUUUAGAAAGUAGAUAUACAGGACUACUUGCAUGCUGUCUCAGUCAAAAAACAGUUUCAGUUUGCAAGCAUGUUUUAUGCCAGCAAAACUUUGUAGUGAAAGGUAGAAGACUGGAGCACUUUAUAAGAGCAAUUUCACAUUAGAUAUUUGAUUUUAUUCUUACAGUUCUUAAGAGUAGGGGUAAGGCCUAUGGUAUUAGAACAUGCCUGUGAAUAAAUAUGACAGAAAUAAUUAAUAUUCUUGUUUGAGGGUUUCUUAAUGUGCUAUCAGAAAGGAAUGAAUACGGAAAAUAUUGCUAAAUGCACUUUUAAGAAUAUUUACAAUUUAUUAUUCAGUCCUGUUUUUGCCCUAUGAACUGGAAAUAGAAUUUGCUUUCAUGUCUCUGCUGAUAAAAAGGCUUUUUAAGAAAUGUUUUAUAGUUGAAGGUUUGGGGUAUAUUUUUUCUGUUUUCCUAUAUGACAGAUAAGAAAGUUUUACUAAUAUUAAUAUUAAUAAAAUAUUCAUUUUUUUUCAGGAAACAAUAAUCUGGUAGGCCCUUGUUUACAGUAAACAAAUAAAAAACCAAAUUUGCCUUUUGUUUUAAAAAAGCUAAAGCAACAAGGGAAUCUUAUACCACAGUCCACCACAUAAUUUUCAAAUUUUAUGUAUGAAAUGGUUCCUUACACAUUACAAUACAGAUAUAACUGAAUUUGUAAGGAAAAAUCUGAUUAACUUUAUCACAUACUAAUGGGAAUAAUACUCAAACUUAUUACUAGUUAACAAAAUUAAGGCUGUAAAGGCAACUCAGAAAAUACUGGGUUUGAGUCUGUGCUUAUUUCUUUAUUUUGUGUGUAUGUUAUAGGUGAGUUUUAAUCACAUGGUGGAUUUCUCAGAUUUUCUUUUUCUCUGCUGAAGGAAAGCUGGCCUGCAUUUCAUAAGUAGCUAUUUGUCCAGUGAGUAGCCAAAUAUUUAAUUUACUUUAUUCUCCUUAGAAGGGGCUAUCAAGUAUUUUCCCUUGUUUUGGUUGGGUGUUUGUUUGUUUGUUUGUUUGUUGGCACUCCUUGUGCUUGCCAGUAUAGAAGACCAGUGUUUGACAAUUAAUUGAGCAAUAAAAAUCCUCAUGGUCUAAAAGGUUUAUUUAUACCUCUUUUACAAAUAAGAUCUGAGGAAUAACUACUGAAGUAAGUGAAUUCCUCCCAGCUGAGAUAUGCAGCCAUGAAUUCUUGGUUUGAAGGACUGACAGUUUCGCCACAAGCUUGGAGCAUACAAAUUCAAAACUAUAUAGGUUAUGGUUCUCAAUAUUUAUUUUAUUUUAAAACUCUCCAGUAGAAGUAGAAAUAGAAAACUGCUUCCUUGGGAAGUGGUAUUUUGUUGGAAUAUUUUUACUGCAAAUGCCAAUCUCUGUAUGAAAUGAGGCAAACCUCUACAGAAAAUAGUCAUUUUACAGUAGCCUCUAACUAUUCCCAAAGCAAGUUUACCUAGUGUGGAACUGAGGAAAAUAGAGCAAGCAGAACUAAAAUAGGGAAGCAUAAGAGUUGCCAUAAUACUUGGAGUACAUGGAAAUUUGCAAUAAGGAAGAUUUUUCUCACUCCCUCUGGUGCACUAGUAUGGAAGAAGACCAGACUGAGGCCUUAGCCAAAAAGGAACACUUUUUAUUAGGAACUGUUUUUCAGAUUAUAUAAUUAAAGGUCAGAAGCCAACCUUCAUGAUUUUCUUUUCUUCUAUUUUCCAGCCUCAUUUGUACUAAGGCUGCUCAGGUCACUGUUUUGAAUUGGUGAUGCAGGAAGGUUUAUAAUAUCUUUGAUAUAAUUUUUCAUAGCAGUUUCCUAAAGUUUCUCUGCUGAGACUGUCAUCCAGAAAGGUUACUGUGACAUUUCCAAAACUGUGUGUUAUUAAUAGGAAUGAAACAUGCUUGUUUCCCUUUUCAUGCACUAAUACUGUGUACAUGUUUAUCUAUAUUGUGAUAUGUUUAUCUAGAACAUGAAUACAUACUUAUGUGUAAUAUAUUGAUGUUAGAAAUAGUAUUUUCUUUGGGUUAUAUUUUACUUUGAAUGCAGCAUAAAGAGUAGUAAGCAAAACUACUUCUCAAACAUGAAUUAUUUGGAGGAGAGAAAGAAGUUGGGCAACAGUGUGCUUCCAAUAGUAGUUUUCAGCAUCCUCUGAGUUAUAAACAAGGUUUACCAACUUCCAUUACUAAAAAAGGUGAUGUUUAUGGCAGCUAAAUUAACUAUAAUAUCCUUGACUAUGUCUGAUGGACUCUCAUGUAGAGGGAAAUAUUUUAAAUUGCAAUUUAUAUAUCAUCUCAUUAAACCUAGUGUUUGCUAGCUGUUAUGCAAGACAUGUCGUAGAGAAGUACCCACUAAAUUUUCUUCUAAUAAAUUUAUAGUUUGGUCCCACUUAUAUUAAAGUGCAACUAUAGUGAAGGGAAGGUAAGUUUAGCUGAGUAAAGGUAAAAUAGAGCUUUACUGUCAAAACCAUCUGACAUUUUCCUGGUCUACUUCUCUUCUGGAUGCUGUUAAAACACUUUCUGGCAUGACAAUUAGCAGCAGUUAGAGAUAUAUUGAAAGAAUGUCAAGAAUUUUUGAUCCAUUUAAUCCAUUGAGAAUUAUACAGUGGUAUUUGUUUCUGGGGACAGAGGGAAAGCCAUAAAAAUGAGAAUACAUUAGUCAUUGUAAAAGAAAUCUAAAUGUCUAGAUAUCAAGACUUGUCUUUGAAGGUGGCCAGCUGUGGCUGAUUAGGAAGAGUGAAAGGAAAAAGUUAGCAUGUAGUGAUAACUACAUAAAGCAUUUUCUUCUAUGAUCACUUGGAGUGAAAAUUUUGAGCCUUCUUGAUUGAUUAUAACUUACACGGAGGGGCUUUUGAAACAUUUUCUUAAACAAUUCUGUAAUCCAGUUAAGCAGCUGGCAGCUACAAAAUCUUGCAGCAAGGAAAUUCACGAUCUAAAAUGUGUUUUGCAUCUGCAAAAUAACCCCUUUUCCUUGUUCUUCUUUAUAGAGAAACCAUUUUCUGACUUUGAUCAUCACUUGUCCUCUUCUUUAUCUUUGCUAGAUUGAGAAUAUCUUGUCUGUAGGAGGACAUGAUAAUGACAGCAAUAAAACCUUCACUAUAAGGACAUGACAGUCAGUAGUAUAACAUUUUUUCUUCAUUUCCUAAUAAUUCCUAACAUAUUAUUUCCUUUAUUUACUUAACACCGAGCUAAGACUUUCCCACAAUUAGCUAUUAUAAUGACAAGAUUUUAUUUCUGAAUAACGAUGUUGUACGACUUCAUCAGCUCACAUUCUUUUGAAUGGCCUUUUUAUUUACUGGUCUUAAUAAAAAUCCUAAAUAAGCUUUUAUACCCAUUAUUCAUUUCCUUUGCCAGAUCAAAAGAUCACAUAUAGAAGAAUUCUACUUUUGUCCAUCCUCUAUUAGGAUUAUUGAAUAUUUACUUUACAUAUUUUAUUUGCAUUUUGUUGAGGGGAAGAUUUUCUAGACUGAUUUCUUUAGAAAUGCUGAUUAUAGACCUUGUCAAAUACCUUCUGGAAAGCCCAGCAGACUAUGAGAUCUGAAGCCCCCUCUUCUGUAAGUAAAAAAUAUGACUGCCUUGAUUCAUAGCAUGCAAAUAAAAUUCCUGUCUGUGGCCAAAUCUUAAUUUCUGUCCUUGUGAACAAGUAGGUUACCACAUUUUCCAGAAAACAGCUAAAAAUGAGGAAAUUCAUUGACUAUGUAAUUUUUUACAAUUCUAAAUUUAGUAGCAUGAGACACCCAAUAGCAACAUGCAAUAUGAUGGAGAUAUUUUGUAUGCACCUAUGUUAAAUGCACCAAAGUUCCUCUGUAAAGUUUUUCAGUAGUGUCAUGACUUCCAAGUCUAUUCAGGUGUUACUG
rnacentral:lncRNA from 1 species